AACGAACGCUGGCGGCAUGCCUAACACAUGCAAGUCGAACGAGACCUUCGGGUCUAGUGGCGCACGGGUGCGUAACGCGUGGGAACCUGCCCUUAGGUUCGGAAUAACUCCCCGAAAGGGGUGCUAAUACCGGAUAAUGUCUUCGGACCAAAGAUUUAUCGCCUUUGGAUGGGCCCGCGUUGGAUUAGCUAGUUGGUAGGGUAAAAGCCUACCAAGGCGACGAUCCAUAGCUGGUCUGAGAGGAUGCUCCGCCACACUGGGACUACGACCCGGCCCAGACUCCUACGGGAGGCAGCAGUGGGGUAUAUUGGACAAUGGGCGAAAGCCUGAUCCAGCCAUGCCGCGUGAGUGAUGAAGGGCUUAGGGUUGUAAAGCUCUUUUACCCGGGAUGAUAAUGACGGUACCGGGAGAAUAAGCUCCGGCUAACUCCGUG
rnacentral:rRNA from 1 species